GACGAACGCUGGCGGCGUGCUUAACACAUGCAAGUCGAACGGAAAGGCCCUGCUUUUGUGGGGUGCUCGAGUGGCGAACGGGUGAGUAACACGUGAGUAACCUGCACUUGACUUUGGGAUAACUUCAGGAAACUGGGGCUAAUACCGGAUAGGAGCUCCUGCUGCAUGGUGGGGGUUGGAAAGUUUCGGCGGUUGGGGAUGGACUCGCGGCUUAUCAGCUUGUUGGUGGGGUAGUGGCUUACCAAGGCUUUGACGGGUAGCCGGCCUGAGAGGGUGACCGGCCACAUUGGGACUGAGAUACGGCCCAGACUCCUACGGGAGGCAGCAGUGGGGAAUAGUGCACAAUGGGCGGAAGCCUGAUGCAGCAACGCCGCGUGCGGGAUGACGGCCUUCGGGUUGUAAACCGCUUUCGCCUGUGACGAAGCGUGAGUGACGGUAAUGGGUAAAGAAGCACCGGCUAACUACGUG
rnacentral:rRNA from 1 species